CAAUUUUACUUAACAUUUCGAGUGGGCGUAAAAGUUGGUAUGUCACCCCAUACUAAAAGAAAACAAGACGCAGAUAUAUGACGGCGAUAUAUGUUCCGCGGAGGACAGUGUGCGAACCAGCGCAAUAUGUUACAUGUCGGGGGCAGAUGCGGUCAAUACGAAGCUGUCAUCAAAGGACCUAGAACUCCGACGCCGUGGUAUGGAAAUAUGGACAGAAUUUUUCACAAGUUUCAUCCCCAUCUGUGAGACUCUAUAUAAAAGGUUUUCAUGGACGUGGUGUUAGUCUGCAGAGAACACCGGCCUCUCCACAACACCGCAUAAGAUAUGAAGUUAUCGUGUUCCAUGAUUUUUCUCUUGGCACUUCUGUUGGCUUUGCUGGUCGACUGUAACACCGGACCUCCGCACCGAAGAGUUCCUUUCAACGGCAGUAUGUACGGAAAGCGAACUGCCAACAGCCUCUCAGUAGAUUACGACAGCAACGCAAAAUCUCUUUCAUCCUUAUGCGAGGUGGCUACUGAAGUUUGCUCGGCCUGGUUUCCGCAACAAACCGAAAACAACUGAUCCACGACACAGAUGUUUUCCUCAGAAGACUACGUCACACCUCUUCCUGGAAGAAGAUGUCCAUUCCAUCACAGCACAACACGGAAGUCAUAUGUGAUAAAACAUGUCAUAUUUCAACAUUUGCAGUUUUCUGAAGUAUUUUAAUUUUCAAUAAUUGUUAAUCAGUGCCAAUCAAUUUUAAUCAUUUCAAAUAUUUAAAUGUAAUUUUAAUAUUCACACAGUUCUGUCGAUCAAUAAUAGUAUCAUUAACAUAAAUCCACUUGAAGAUGGUCUAUAAUGGAUCGAAACAUGUAGUAGAGUAAACCAUUCAAAGGAUAAAACCAAAUUUAAAAAGUUAUGUGGAUGGA